rfam:Beta vulgaris subsp. vulgaris chromosome 4, whole genome shotgun sequence.
ACGGGGCUUCGUCCGGAUCCAACAACUGGUCUAUAUAUAUGUAUGUAUAUAUAUAUAUAUAUAUAUAUAUAUAUAUAUAUAUAUACAUACAUAUAUAUAGACCAGUUGUUGGAUCCGGACGAAGCCCCGU